CGCUUACCACUUUGUGAUUCAUGACUGGGGUGAAGUCGUAACAAGGUAACCGUAGGGGAACCUGCGGUUGGAUCACCUCCUUACCUAAAGA
rnacentral:rRNA from 2 species